AUUGAACGCUGGCGGCAUGCCUUACACAUGCAAGUCGAACGGCAGCACGGGAGCAAUCCUGGUGGCGAGUGGCGAACGGGUGAGUAAUAUAUCGGAACGUGCCCAGUCGUGGGGAUAACGUAGCGAAAGCUACGCCAAUACCGCAUACGAUCUAUGGAUGAAAGCGGGGGAUCGCAAGACCUCGCGCGACUUGGAGCGGCCGAUAUCAGAUUAGGUAGUUGGUGAGGUAAAGGCUCACCAAGCCGACGAUCUGUAGCUGGUCUGAGAGGACGACCAGCCACACUGGGACUGAGACACGGCCCAGACUCCUACGGGAGGCAGCAGUGGGGAAUUUUGGACAAUGGGCGCAAGCCUGAUCCAGCAAUGCCGCGUGCAGGAUGAAGGCCUUCGGUUGUAAC
rnacentral:rRNA from 1 species